AUUGAUUUAUAAUCGAGGAAUAAAGUAUUCCAAUUUCAAAAAUGAAACUGUCAAACAUUUUCUUUUUCGUCUUCAUGGCGUUUUUCGCAGUGGCCAGUGUCUCUGCUGCGCCUAGGUGGAAGCCGUUCAAGAAAUUGGAAAAGGUUGGGCGAAACAUCCGUGACGGCAUUAUCAAGGCGGG